CAGAUACAACUCAGUGGAAUACUACCAGGACCUCUCCGUGGGAGGUCUUUUAUAUGUCCAAUCCUGUUCAACACUACUAGUACUGCCCUAUGAGAGGGCCUUUACACAUCCGACCCUCUUCAUGACAUCCAGUAUUUGGGAAUAACUCAGCAUAUUGAUCGUAUAACUGGAGUACCAUCAUCUUUCUCUACCUCCUCAUCAGGUUCUGCUUCUAUAGGUGGGACCUCUUCUACAGUCUAAGAGGUCUCCUCUUUAUCUUUUAUUUCAACACCCAUCAGCAGUUCAGAAGUCUCAGGUUCAGUAGCUGUAGUUUCUUCUACCAUCUCAGUUGCUACUUUUGAACCUUCUUUAUGUAUUUCUUAAACUACUUUUCCUGUUAUUGGGACCUUUCUGGUAUUAUCUUCAAAAGCUACAUACUCUUGUUUUUGUAUACAUCUUGGUUUUCUUCUUGGACGAGACUGAAUUUCUAUUGUUCUAUGCCUGAGACUUCUCUCUGUUCUGACUGAUGCCUCCUCGUUGAAGAUUUCCUGCGCAGCAUGGCCUCGCCCCCUUUGUUGUCUUUUCCCGAGGGCGGGGUUUAUCUGGGUCUGUGAUGUCACAAGCCUGGAAAGUAUCUUGUUGUAGUCCCUUCCAGCCGUUUUUGUAGGCAUUAAACUGCCAGAAUUUUAAAAGACCUGAUCUCCGUUUGCAUUGAACUUUCAACUUGUUACUU
ensembl:lncRNA